rnacentral:rRNA from 1 species
ACUCCUACGGGAAGGCAGCAGUGAGGAAUAUUGGUCAAUGGAGGGAACUCUGAACCAGCCAUCCCGCGUGUAGGAAGACGGCCUUAUGGGUUGUAAACUACUUUAUACAGGAAGAAACGUACCUCGUGAGGGUGCCUGACGGUACUGUAGGAAUAAGCACCGGCUAACUCCGUGCCAGCAGCCGCGGUAAUACGGAGGGUGCGAGCGUUAUCCGGAUUUAUUGGGUUUAAAGGGUCCGUAGGCGGAUUAAUAAGUCAGUGGUGAAAUCCCAUCGCUUAACGAUGGAACUGCCAUUGAUACUGUUAGUCUUGAAUGAGGGUGCAGUGGUUGGAAUGUGUAGUGUAGCGGUGAAAUGCAUAGAUAUUACACAGAACACCGAUUGUCGAAGGCGAGAAUCACUAACCCUAAACUUAGACGCUGAGGGACGGAAAGACGUGGGAGCGACAGGAUUAGAUACCUCGGUAGCGACUGA